rnacentral:rRNA from 1 species
AUUGAACGCUGGCGGCAGGCCUAACACAUGCAAGUCGAGCGGAUGAAGGGAGCUUGCUCCUGGAUUCAGCGGCGGACGGGUGAGUAAUGCCUAGGAAUCUGCCUGGUAGUGGGGGAUAACGUCCGGAAACGGGCGCUAAUACCGCAUACGUCCUGAGGGAGAAAGUGGGGGAUCUUCGGACCUCACGCUAUCAGAUGAGCCUAGGUCGGAUUAGCUAGUUGGUGGGGUAAAGGCCUACCAAGGCGACGAUCCGUAACUGGUCUGAGAGGAUGAUCAGUCACACUGGAACUGAGACACGGUCCAGACUCCUACGGGAGGCAGCAGUGGGGAAUAUUGGACAAUGGGCGAAUGCCUGCUCCAGCCAUGCCGCGUGUGUGAAGAAGGUCUUCGGAUUGUAAAGCACUUUAAGUUGGGAGGAAGGGCAGUAAGUUAAUACCUUGCUGUUUUGACGUUACCAACAGAAUAAGCACCGGCUAACUUCGUG